AGCCUUUUGGCAUGAGAUGAUUCUGGACAGCAUUAGCACCUGGUAACAAGAAAGGAACGCCCAGGGUUGCGAACCCAGACAACCUUUCGGGGUGCAGGGAAGCUAUUAGACUUACAGGUAAUGCUCCAAAAUCCUUCCCAACUAGAAAAACCUGCUACCAAAAGUUCAGUUUGUCAAUUGGAAAACACUAGAUUCACGGGUGCUUACGUACAGCACAUGUCAUCAGUUAGACUUAUCAUUGUAAAGUAGGGGUCUGAAUUCUGACUGCCUGCGCAAUAUAUCAAAUCAACUACUGAAUUGUGGUAUUACCAUUAGCAUUGAUACGGUUAGUGGGUAACAUAUAACUGAAAUUUAAACUUACUACAUUUUCUUUUUCCUGGACUUUCUUGUAUUAUCAUGAUUCUAUAACAUACCCAACUAGAAAGAUUCCUUCUUAAUUUUCUUUUAUUACAUGUUGUUUUGAUUGACAGUUCUGGUCAACUAAUUUCAAUGAAAUCAGUUCAGGUUUUCCAUAGAUUAUUCUGAAGCGGAAAAGAAAAAGCCCAAUCAAAAGAAAGCAUUUUUUGGACUAGCCGCUAACCUUAUCGAUGCCGAGAGUGUCAAGA
rnacentral:lncRNA from 1 species